rnacentral:lncRNA from 1 species
GGAGGCUCACAUUAUCCUAACCGCACAUUUCUCAAUCCAAUGGCUAAAAAACUAAUAACACAAAUAGUUUGGUGCUACUGAUAGUAUUACGUCUAGUUCUAUUAAUAUAUAUAUAUAAAUAUAUAUAUAUAUAUAUAUAUAGAUCGGCUACUAUGCUAUUAAUAGCACGAAGCACUUGGUGCUACCAAGUUUUCCGCCGUUAGAUCUACCCUUUGGAUCAUUUUCACCCGUUAGAUCAUACUAUUCAACCAACCACCCACUCAACCCUAGGGGGCCCACAUCAUCCUAACCACACAUCUCUUAAUCCAAUGGCCAAAAACUUGGUAGCACCAACGACUUGGUGCUAUUAAUAGCAUAGUAGCCUAGUUCUAUAUGAGUCCGGCUACUAUGCUAUUAAUAGCACGAAGCACUUGGUGCUACCAAGUUUUCCGCCGUUAGAUCUACCCUUUGGAUCAUUUUCACCCGUUUUCUAGAACAUUUAAAACUUCUAGAAAUUAAAUUUUAUAAUUUUUCGAUAUCAUUUACCUUACAAUCAAUAGCUCACAAAAUUGACAAAUUUUAACGGCCGGUAUGUGAUACUUGUUAGUUUAACGGUGUAAAAGAAUCGAAAUAGCUUGAAUUUUUUAUAGAAAAUUAUAUUCAUUACCUAGAUAAAGAUCAAUAACCCCGAUCUUAAAUUGAAGGAUCCGAUCAUCUAUUUUUAGGACGUCAUUCGAUUUUGGCCGUUCAUUUUAUAUCCACUUAAUGGACUUUAUAAUGAUUUCGAAAAGUUACGAAAUUUAUUUUCUAUAAGUUUCAAAUACUCUAGAUCAUGUUUAACGGUGUGGAUCGUCGAUUCGGAAGCCUGAACAUCGAAAACAACUUAUGAGUACGAAGGACUCUAUACUCAUAAGAGUAUAGUAGCCCUACUAUAUAUAUAUAUAUAUAUAUAGUGAGGCUACUAUGCUUCUGGAAGCACGGAGCCUUCCGUGCUUCCAGAUCGUUUUCUAUGUUGCGACUUUCGAAUCGUCGAUCGGCUCCAUUAAACUUGAUCUAUAGUAUUUGAAGUACUUAGAAAAUAAAAUUUGCAAUUUUUCGAUAUCAUUUGCCUAGUGAUCGAAAGAACUCAAAAUCAAUAAUUUUAAUGGCCGUGGUGAGCUGUUUGCAAGUUUAAUGGUGUAGAAAUAUUCAAAUCAUAUGAAAUUUUGAUAGAAAAUUCUUUAUAUUAUAUAAAACAAGAUCAAUAUCUUUGAUCUAAAAUUUUAAUGUCAUAUUAUCACAUUUUGUAAGAUUUUUAUUUUCAGCCGUUGAUUUUGAGCCCCUUAGUUCGCUAGGCAAAUGAUAUCGAAAAAUUGCAAAAUUUAUUUUCUAGGUACUUCAAAUACUCUAGAUCAAGUUUAACGGAGCCGAUCGACGAUCCGAAAGUCGCAAUAUUAAAAACGAUCUGAAAGCAGGAAGGUUCCAUGCUUCCAAAGCAUAGAGCUUCACUCAUAUAUAUAUAUAUAUUAUAUUAUUAUAAUAUAUAUAUAUAUAUAAUAAUUUAAAACUUUAUAUUUAUAUUAUAAAUAUUUUUAUAUGAAAGAAACUAAAAUAUAUUUGAAAUUCAGAAUUGGAUAUGGGUAUAUGAUGUAUAAAUUUUUUUCAGUGUUUAGGUUGCCCGGUUAGUAUAUAUAUAUAUAUAUUAAAAAAAUAUAUAUUUUAAGUUUUUAGAAAAUAUGGCUUGUUUCAAAUUACUUAUUGUUUCAAGGCGCGGAUAGGAGAAAGCUUGAUGGUUGACAUUUGAGGUUUUAACUUCGAAAGUUAGUAGCUUUACAUUUUUAGCUAAGUUUAUUGUUGAAAAUAAUAAACGAAAUGAAAAGCAUGCUAUCUUUUUCUUUUAAAAGAAAACGAUUAUUUCAAAUUCUUUUAAUAUUAGAGGAUAAAGAAAAGAAGAGUUGCCUAUAUUAAAAGUGCUAUUCAAGAUAACUUAAUAUGAUCGAACCGUCCCUAGAACAAGUGGCAAAGAGCUUGGUGGUUGGUAUCCGAGACCGAACUUCGAAUCCUAGUUGAUUCACAUUUUCAGCCGGAUAGCGUACUAUCUAUCUCUCAAAAAAAGAAGAAGAAGAUAACUUAACAUGAGAUACAAAUAACAAUUUUAUUAAACAAUGUAUCUCAUUUAUAUAAUUUUUUUAUUUAGUAUACCCAGCUUCAUCUUCCAAUUUCUACUGGUAAAAUUCUAUUUCCAUAUCUCAAACCUAUUUCACAUAUUGAUACUGCAAUAAUUAAAAGAGAGUUGAUACGGACACAUUAAAUUUUGUUAAGCCCAAAGUGAAUUUACCUUUUCUUUUCCAUCACUCUACAAUUAUACUCUCAUUCAGUGGAAAGUAACUUUUCACUUAUGAGGGAACCGGAUUAAAUUGAGCAAAAUUAAAAGUAAUUAUUUUUCAAGCCAAACGCGCAUCACUUUUUUUUAAAAAAAAAGGCAACAUGCUACCCGCUUCAUUCAUUCAGAAGAUGAAUUAAACUACAUGGGUGAGGCAACACAGACCUCGAGGAUGGCGGAAAAAAAAAAACAACAUUAUUGCACUGAGCGCAGUUUCUCCCAAAGACUCAUCAACAGUUUAAUCUUAUAAAUUUUAAUGAUGGGGUCAGGCUGUGUUGUCUUGAAGAUCACUCCAUUCCUAAUCUCCCAAAGGGCCCACCAGCAGGCUAUUAGUCCAUUUAGGUCGGUGCAUCACUUUCUUAAAAAUCAACUUCUCUCUCUUUUUCUUUUUCUUUUGAUUUUAACAGGAAUGCCAUCUAAGCUACAGAGAAAAAAAAAUCCCUGAAAAAGAAGAUAGAAAGAGAGAAAACAUAUAACUUCUUUAUUUUUGAAUAAAAUUACAGAAAUUAUAUUAGAACCUAAUUAUUAGAUUAAAAUACUAUUAAUAGCACGAAGAAGUCAUUGAUACUAUUAAGUUUUCGGUCUUUAAAUAAAAAAAUAUGUAGUUAGGAUGAUAAUAGUCUUAUUAGGGUUUAGUAAAUUGAUAUAAUAGUAUAAUUUAAAGGAAGAAAAUGAUCAAAUUAGUCGAUACUAAAUGCUUAGUGCUAUCAAUUAUAUAAUAUAAUUUUUUAAUAAAAUAUUUUGUCGUAGGCAGUGCAUGCACGGCCUACGUUCUCUCGGCCCAGCGGGAGUGGAGGACGAGGCUAUCUCCGGACGGCCCACGGUCACCAAAUUUGGACGGCCAAGAUCGCUUUGUAGGCCGGCGAAACCGCAGAUCGCAGCCGCACACCUCCUACAGUAAAAAAAAACAACCCGUGGGUCCCACCCCCAUAAUUUCCUAUCCCUGUCGUCAACUGACAAAAAUUAUACGGGGGAAUAGCCCGAAACAAGUUUGUUGGGGCCACUCCCGGAUGUGCGCCACGUGGCAGCCGAUCCACGCGGAUCCAUCGGUCUCGUUGCUCUCCCUGUUGGGAGAGCAGUCUAUUUUUUUUUUGUGCACCCGGUGCACUAGUUUGUUUUAAAAUUUUAUUUUUUAUUUUUUAAUUAUAAUUUAAUAAUAUAUAUUAUGAUAUUUUUAAAAUAUAUGUAAAAUAAUUUAGAAUUUAUGAUUUUACAUAUAUAUUUAAAUAUCAUAAAAUAUAUAUCUAUUAUAUUAAAUUAAANAUUUAAAAAUAAAAAUAGUGCACCGGGAGCACCGAAAAAAAUCCGCUGCUUUCCCAAGAGGCAGGGCAGCGGGGACGGUGGCCCGGGGUGCCACGCGGCGCCCAUCCAGACUGUCCUCAAAAAAAAAAUUUUGGACAUGUUGUCCAUAAAUUUUUUGCCCGUCAACGUAAGAAGCAGAAGCAGAAACCGUAGCUCGGUAGCUCCCCUCCAAAACCAAACGCAGCAUCGGCAUCGGUUCCUCCGUCCCUUCGCCUUCCCCGCCUCAUCCGUCCCCACCAAACCAAAGCAUCCGCAUACUUCAAAAAAAGCAAAAAAAAAAAGAAAAAAAAAGAAAAAACAAGAAAAAAAAAAAGAGAGACAUAUAUAUAGGACUCAACGAGGAGACUCGGAGGUGCGCCGUGCGAUGGCUCUCCACGCCGCCGCUUCCUCCGUCGCCGCGUUCGCUUCGAACUCCCGACUCCGCCCCACCAACUCUCCCUCGCCGAGGGCUUUCCCCACAACGCCUCUUUUCCCUUCUUCUUCCUCCUCCUCCUCUUUCGCCCCUCUCCGUACACAUACAGGUUUCGCUCUUUCUUCCAAACUAUGCAUAUUUCAACUGAAUUUAUGUCGCAAGCAAAGAUUAUAUUAAUCUCUAAUUUUGCCUUUAUUAUCGUUGCUAUACCAAAAAAUAAAUCCUUUUUUUUUUUUCUUCUUUUGUGCGUGUGUGUGUUGAAUUGGACUGUACGAGCUAAGUUGAUUGCCUUCAGUACAGUAGAGUUACUUUCUAACACUAGUAAACUUUUUCGUUGCCAUCUGUUAGGGAUUUUAGGAAUAGCCUGCUGUCCCUGUACUGAAUUGCAAUUGUUGUCGUAGGUUGCGUAAGAGCAGCUGCGGGCAGCAAUGGAGUUCUCGCGGCCGGCGAAUCUCCGCUCAUAGUGUGCUUCGGAGAAAUGCUGAUCGAUUUUGUCCCGACCGUCAGCGGCUUGUCGUUGGCCGAAGCCCCCGCCUUCAAGAAGGCUCCCGGGGGUGCUCCUGCUAAUGUCGCCGUUGGCAUAGCUCGGCUCGGCGGUUCGUCGGCAUUUGUCGGGAAGGUGAUGCCCGGUAGAUAGUUCGUUUAUUUAUAUCAAAUUUAGGACACACCUUAUUCCUGCUUUCUUCGCGUUUGUAAGAAAUUUUUUCAAAUGUAAGUAAUUAUCUGUGAAAUCGUGGAUUACUCACUUUAUGCAAAAGAGCUACUUCUAUGGUUGUGAAUAUUGUCGAUCAUCUAAACUGUUUAUCUGCUAUCUUUCUCUCAUUUCUCGGUUUGUCCUGUUUGUUUCGUAACAUACGUAGGUCGGUGAAGAUGAGUUUGGCUACAUGUUGGCUGAUAUCUUGAAAGAGAAUAACGUGAACAACCAGGGCUUGCGGUUCGAUCCUGCUGCUCGAACAGCUUUGGCCUUUGUAACGUUACGAAGCGACGGCGAACGCGAGUUCAUGUUUUAUCGCAAUCCUAGCGCUGAUAUGUUGCUUGAAGUAAACGAACUUGACCUUGAUCUUAUAACAAAGGUAUGUGAUGAAUGAUGACCUUGAUCUUAUAAUUAGAGAGUUCCUACUAUAUAUACCUUACUUCUGUCGUGUAUGGUUUACACAGAAUUUACCUAUUUUAUAUUUAUAUAAUGUAAUUCUAACAUCUUGAUCAUUAAUAUCUGUUCUAGGCAAAGAUCUUCCAUUAUGGUUCUAUAAGCCUUAUAACUGAACCAUGUAAAUCGGCACACGUUGCAGCAGCUAAAGCUGCUAAAGAUGCUGGAGUGCUUCUGUCUUAUGAUCCAAAUCUGCGUCUACCGCUGUGGCCGUCGGCCGACAGUGCUAGAGAGGGAAUCUUGGGCAUAUGGGAAAUUGCUGAUAUUAUCAAGGUAGCUACUUUUCUAAUGCAGUGCUUCUUGAAAUAGUUUCUUGAUCUUAUUUAGCUCAAUGUAUUGGAAAUUUGCAAUAGAUCAGCGAAGAAGAGAUUUCCUUUCUGACGAAAGGAGAGGAUCCUUAUGAUGAUGCUGUUGUGCGAAAACUCUUCCAUCCAAAUCUUAAGUUGCUGCUAGUAACAGAGGGGCCGGAUGGUUGUAGGUACUAUUCCAAGGUAUGUAUUUGCCUAUGCAAUUUCUCAAAGCUCUUUGUUAUCGUUGUCUAAUUUCCACCAGUUUUGUUUCUCUGGUGCAAAACGAAAUAUAUAUAUAUAUAUAUAUAUAUAUAUAUAUAUAUAUAUAUAUGUCUACUUAUUACUGAGGAAAACAACAGAAGCAACUUGGAAGAAAAUUGAAAUUGUAAUUGAAAUUGACAUGGCUAUCCAUGAAAUCUCGUGUCCUCUUCCUUUGCUGGACUCAGUUUUUGCACUUUGCCGCCUGUGAUUAUACUUCUACAUUUUGUUAAUAAAGUUUUCAUUAUUAGAUGUCCAAAAUACCCAGUUAUAUGUCAGAAUAAGAUCAAACUAAUUGAAAAGCCAAAAGUACCAAUCUUAACAUAUAUGAUUUCAAAUAAUAUAGGAAUUUAGUGGGAGAGUAAGUGGACUAAAGGUGACAGCUGUGGACACUACUGGUGCUGGAGAUGCCUUUGUUGCUGGAAUACUAUCUGGAUUGGCCUCAGAUUUUUCAUUGCUCCAGGUAUUACUCUCUCUAACCUACAGUUGUACCAAAAUUCAUUUUUAUGUUAUGUUGAUGUUCUACAUUUCUGUUUCUUUUUUUUUUUAUUUUUAAGCAUAUAGUAUAUUGCAUGCAGCAACCACAGCUUAUUCUCUUCUAAAUUCUAACCUGUGAAGUGAUACUCUGAUCGAGACUUACUGGAACUAUCUUUGAAUAUUAACAGGAUGAAGGAAGGCUAAGAGAAGCUCUGAAAUUUGCAAAUGCUUGUGGAGCUCUCACUGUGAUGGAAAGAGGAGCAAUCCCUGCACUACCAACCCGUCAGGCCGUUCUCGAUGCAUUGGUUAACAUAAUUGCUUAAACUAUUGCUAGUUAUAAUCCCGGGCUCAUUCAUUGUUCGCGGCCUUGUAAAAUGAUUUAGCUUUUAGAGAACCAUAUAUUCAGUGAUUAAUUUUCAAUUGCAACUUCCCGACUUCCUGUUAAGAAACAAAACAGCUUUGCCGAAAAACUCGACCAUGUACUGUUGUACUCUAAAUUAGUAUCAAAAUAAGCUGUGGAUUGAGCUAGUCUUAUUUGUAAAUGGCAUUUGGUGUAGAGUGUGUGAAAAAUUAAAGCACCAUACUUGCUUAAUGACUUGGUUUGAGCUACUCUUAUUUGUAAAUGACAUUUGGCGUAGAGUGUGUAAAAACCUGAAGCACCAUACUUGCUUAAUGACUUAAUUGGGCCACACGCCAUAAUGCCCUUGAUUGCCUGGCAUAACAACAGUAAUACGGCUCCGAUUGACCAUUUAGUUUGAUUAAUUAUCGACCAUUUAGUUUGAUUAAUUAUUGAGCGCCUUUUCCACAUGUUAUGUGAUUAAUGAUUGCAUCUGGUGACUUAAAAUGGACAAUAUGAUGAUUCAAAACAACCUAAUAAUGGAUUAAUGCAAGUUAAAGGAAAGGUAUGUAUAAAAAUGACCAACAUUAGGAGAGGGAGGUAGCAGUGCCCCGUAAAGGGCCCAUAAAAGUUGGAGAGCACAUUUUUUGGAAUAUAUAUGGAAUAUAUAGCACUGUUCGCAUACAUAAAAGUGGGUGUGUAGAGCACAAUACUUAUCUAUAGAUACUGGAAACAGAGAAGAAGUGUUGGUUUCCACUCAUAAGAACCAGAUUCUUGCAAGACACAGUUACCAGAAGGCCAACACACGACAACAAAUAUUUUGGUGUACCCGAUCAAACGCAUCAUGCAACGUCUUUUAAACAUAAGAAACAUAAUCGCUUGUAUUUCAUUUGGUAGUAUUAAGAACUAGAUCAAUGUCGACAAAUUGAUAAUGGUUGCCCCCCUCCUCAACUAAAAAAGUGAUUAUCAACAAAUGAUUGAUAAUAUAUACCACCGGUGAGGUCGCCAAAUAAUAUCACUCGAGAAGCUUAUUGCAUGUCCCAACUCCAACCGCCGCCGCAAGGUGCCAUGCAGCAUGAAGAUAGGGGGUCUCGGGAAAGCAGUCGUCGGCGAAAAAUAGUGCACCUCCUAAUAGAGAGGAAACUGUGUGAAGGUUAUGAGCCAUUCUGAGCGCUGGUUUCUCCAGUGCUUUUCUUGCGAAGGCUACCUGAAAAACACCAAGUCAACAGAUUAUUAAGAAUCUCAAGAAAGCAAACCGUUGAUGUAACCAUCGUCUGUAAAGAGAUGUGAGCUGCUUAUCAGCAGAAACAUUAAGGAAUAGAUGCAGUUCCAAUGGGAAACUGUUGAAUUUCUAUUGAUAAAACAUAAGAAUAGAUGCUUUAUUAUGACUUGCCUCCAUCAUGCCUGUGUGGACAGCUGAAACCAUCAAAGGUUGAAAUGGUAAAAGCAAUGUUGAUGCGGCCAUUAGUACUUUUGGGUUCUCUUCCCUGAGUGCCCUUGAUAGACACUGCACAGAACGAUUGUCUAGUAAGGUACAGGAAGAAAAGGUAACUCGCCCCUCAAUUGAAACUUCCCGUUCGGGAUAAAUAAUAGUAAAAGUUAUUAUGAGGCUCUUUCAGCGAAACAAAUCGAUUCUUUGCCAUUCCUAGAAAAUACAUGUAUGCCCGCUAAGCCACUACAUAGGAACAUAGGAACAACUUAAGAAGCCAAAAACAUAUGAACACGUUUGAUUCUAGCUUAUAUUUUAGGCUAGGCAGGUUUAAUGAACUGAUACCAAAUGCUUUAGAGACCUUUUUCUGCUUAAUUAUCUUCUCUCUUAUGUAUCGAUAGCAGCGAAACAAAAAUAAGAAAAUGUAUGUUUGCGCACUCUCAUGUUCUUGUGCACUCUCAUGUUCUUGCGCAUUCUCAUGUUCAAGGAAUUCAUUUAGAUCGUUGACCAUUUUUUCAGAGGAAACUCCUCAAAUAUGCACAACCAGUUGGUAAGCGUAUCAAACUUACAAGUGAAGCUGCAGCAAUCAUUGUAUAGUCUGCCCAUCUCAGAUAUUUUCUAACUUCUCCCCUUGAAGAAUGAUAUAAGCUUGAUGCGAUCCCCACUCCAACAAGCGAAUUAGCAUAUAAUGCAGUAUUCAAGUUCUUCCUGCAGCACUGAUAGGUAAUUCGUCAGUCGAUAGUGGUAUAAAGAAACAAACGAGGGUGGGGUAUACAACUAAAGGCAUUCUAAUACGAAUAAAUUUUGAAAAGGAACUUGCCGUGGAGCCCGAAGUCCGAGAAAUAUGAAAGGCAUUGAGGUCAAGACAUUUGCAAUAGUUUCCCCGAUAUGACUAUCGCCUGAUACAGGAGAUAUAUACGCAUGUCAAAGCUGAUGCAUAAAAGAAAUUGUUGGAUGUGCGCACCAAUAACGGCCUAAGUAGAAAAUACCUUGCAGACUACAUUUGAUGGGCCUCAAGCACGACGGCCUCUGCUGCCAUAGUUGCCUGAGGAAACAUGUCAUACAUUACCCUGUUAGUUAUAUUUACAUAAGAUAUGUACAAAUAGUCCAAGACACACUCGAAAAUUGCAACUAAGUUCAAUUGUAAAUGAAGAACAACUCACCUGAUUAACAAUCCUUGGCUUAUUCCGACAAUCCCCGACCCAUCACAAGCUGAUUGAUCAAAGCCGCCUUGGCGAAGAUCCUCAUCCUCUCUGUAAGAUGAUCGAUUCACAACUUGUACCCCAUGGAGCCCUUCUAAAACUCUGGGCAUUGAUGCAUCUUUGAUGCCCAUUUAUACACUCGAUGGCAAGCAACCCAAUCUAAUUUCUUAUUGGCUGGUUGUCUCAUACGGCAGUUAGAUUAUCUGCACAUGCACAAAGAAAACGACACAAAAGGUUUGGUACAAAUAACAUGUGCAAUAGUCACUCUCUGAAAACUUCAAAAUCGACUUUAGGAAGCAAAAAUCGAUCACCAGCGAGAACAGUUCAAGUUCGUCUAUGCCCCACUCAAUGUGGCGUGCAAUCACAUUAUAUAGCCCUUAGGCGGAUACAUCUGUAAUUGACUCAGGAUCAUUCUUAACAGGUGUUGGUUGGCACUCAACACGCCACUUUUUUUAUCCAGGAAUAUUAGAUGCGCAGAUUAAAUCUGUUUCGUUUUUACUUAAUAAAUAGUGAACUCCAGUUUCAUAAUGUAUAAUUAGCGAAAUUCCAAUUUUGGUCCUCUUCUGGUUGAGUAAGGCUCUAACUAAGUAACCUAAGAUUUUCAAGCCCAAAUAACCAGAUAAAAUAUCACUAUCCUUGUCCUUAAAGAUGCAAGCACAUGUUCCUACUUUUGAUGAGAACUAUUGUCGAAGAGUAAAAUCCAGCAUAAACAUAAUGGAAUUAGGCUCUACGGAAUCGAUUCAAGCUGAAAUAGUCACAAUGCCAGAGAAGCACCAAAAUUGUCGGAUAAUUUUGCCCUUAGAUUUGCACAAGAUUCAAUAAAAGAGCAAAAAAUUACUAAAGAUAAUAGGAAAAAAAAAAAAGCCUGAAAUUGAUACAUACAAUCAACAUUAAUCAGGAGAACUCAAAACCCUUGCUCUAUGAAAUCAAAUCCAAUCCCCCGAAAAAUAAGAAUUUUCUUACGAUUCUUUAUACUUAAAAAGAAAUCAUAAUCAUAAUCAUAAAAUAAGAGAAGUAAAAAAAAAAAAAAAAAAAAAAAAAAACCUGAAGAGGAGGGCGGAGAAGCAGCUUAUCGUCACCGCGCGGCUUCGGCUUUUUCUCGCAGCGAAAACAUAGGUUAAUUUGUUAAAAUAGAACAUUUUCUUUAUAGAACGAAGUUUAUAAUAAAAUUAGUAUCUUAUUUUGAAGUAACUUUUUUUUUCUUCACAUCAAGAAAACGUCUAUCUGUUAAUUUAAAGGAUUCAAAAUACGGAAGAAAGAAUUUGAAGCAAACUCUAACGCAGUGCACGCCACUCUUUCAUACUAACUUUUUAUAAAACUAACAUAAAACAUGCAUUAUAACGCAAGAUAUAUAACACUACUCGGCCAAUAUUAUAUAAAAAAUGCCGAGAUAGCCUCUUGCAUUUUCAUAUAGGGAUAUAUAUAAAAAAAGAUUGAAAUAAAAUAGAUUAUCGCAGUUUAUUUGGAGUUAUGGUUUGAUUUGUAAAGGAAAAAAAAAAGGUCGAAAUAAUAGAGAGCCGAUAUUUUUAGCACCCUGUAAGAGCUCUAAUGCGAUGCGAAGCAGUCCAGACUAUAACCAAAUUGGUUGGUGUUGUGCGGUGCAAUAUUAGUCUAAAUCUCUGGCGUAUCCUGAGUGUGUCGGCCCAACGCAACCGUGAAGUAUGCCCCGCUUAGUUUAGGGGAGGAGACGGCUUAGGCGUCUCUCUCUCCCUCCCUUUGCAGCUUCGCUAUCUCAUCGCCCUCCCUUAACCCCUUAUAGGCAUAUUAAGGGGGCGCAUUCUAGGAAAGCCUUAGGCGUAGCAAAGAGGCUAAGGGAGGGGGGGGAGAGAGAGAAAUAUAUAUGAGCAGGGGGUGCGUAGGGGCNAUAAAAUUGUUUAAUUGGAUACUAAUAAUAUUUUGUAUAUAUAUACAUAAAAGUAUGGAGAAUUUUAUAAUUAGAUGUUAAAAGUGAUGUAUGAUUCAUUUAUUUCAGAUUGCAUAAAAAAUUAAAAAUACCGAUAAAAUGGUGGGUCAUUUACUGCUUAUCACAAGGGUUAAGAUCGACCAAAUAUAAAAAUUUAAUGAUAAUUACAAAAAAAAAAAGCCUAUUUAAAUACACAUGCAAAUAGUCAGUGGAUAUAUCAAAUAUAAAUAUAUAGAUAAAUCUGUUUGGAAGAUCAUAUUCAGGUUCAUGGCAGUUAGUUACAUUCUUAUUGAUGUACAUGCCGGGUGAACACAAACCAAUUUUUAAAUUAAUACUCCUAUAAUUUGAAAUUGUGUAGAUUGCAUAUUUGUGUAAACGCAUACUAAUCGUAUUCCCCAUGAGAGUGCGCUGAGAAAAGAUACUUGACAUUAUAAUUUUUUAAAUUUUAUAUAUAUAGUUCGACUACUACAUUCUUAUGAGUAUAGGUACUUCUUUGUUGUUGAAGCAUAAAAAAAAAAGGGGGAAGAAGAAGAAAAAAAGGAGCAAGAAAAAAGAUAGAAAGAGAGAAAAUUUGAAUAAUGGUGUAUGAGAUGAUCCAUACACUACGCAUGGAAAAAUUCGAGUUUAAAUUUUGAGUCUGGUGCAUAGGUUAAUCCAUGCACCAGGUGCAUAGAUUAUAAAAAGUGGGAUGUCCUCGUAGGCAUGAAUGGAUAUUACAAAUAGCAAAUUAGUCCUUUCCCUUUCAUAUGCUCCUUCAAACAUAUAAUAUUCUGUUAUUUUAACUAAGAUAUAAUAUAAACAAAUGGGAAUGACUAAUAUGUAAUUUAAUACCUAUGAUCCCAUAAUCCUACAUCGUAACUUCCCACAAACCUCACCAUAUGCACUUCCAUACGCACAUUCUCCCGGGUAGUUAGACUAGACCCAUAAAUAUCUCUCAAUGAGAAAAGAAAAAGAGGACACAGAUUUGAACCUUCAAACAUAUUCCUAAACAAAAAAAUCCAUCCCAUCCCCCUGUUCACGAAAGAGAAAAAGAAAGGUAUAAUAUUUUUUUCUUCACCAUUAAUGCCACAAUCAAAGCUCUCUCUCUCCCUCCUAAAAAGUAAAAAAAAAAUAAAAAAUAAAAGAAAAAGAAAAGAGGGGCCCUCUGUAUGUCCACCCUCAUCAAGCCCCUCCUUCCCGCUCCGCCCACUCCCCCAAGCUCCUCCGCGGCCUCCGCGACUGCAUCGACUCCGACGUCGCCGCGAUCCUCCGCACCGCCCACUCCAUCAAGGCGCAGCUCGAAGCCCUCGACGACUCCAACGCCGCGAACCGUGCCCUCUCCCCGCGCUUCGCCGCGGGGAUCUCCGUCGACCGCACCAGGAUUUCGGUUACCCACGGGAUCAGGGCGAAGCUUCGCGACGCCAUGAUCGGGUUCCAGAAGCUCAGGAAGACGAUCCUCUCCGACCACAAGGAGACCCUGAAGCAAAACUACUACAACGCCACGGGAAAGCUCGCCUCCGACAAGGUGCUCGACGAAAUGCUCAAGUGGAGCGGCGACCCCAUGGAUCCGCGGUGGCCGUGGUCACCAUCAACCGCCCGGGCGCGCUCAACUCGCUCACGCGCCCCAUGAUGGUCGCGCUCGCAGGCGCGUUCCGCCGCCUCGACGCCGACGCCGGGCGCGGCCGCGCCUUCUGCUCCGGCGUCGACCUCACCGCCGCCGAGGAUGUCUUCAAGGGCGACGUCAAGGACCCCGCCGCCGACCCCGUCGCCGCCAUGGCCGUGUGCCGCAAGCCCAUCGUCGGCUCCAUCGCCGGAUUCGCCGUCACCGCCGGGUUCGAGAUCGCCCUCGCCUGCGACUUGCUCGUCGCGGGCGGCGACGCCAAGUUGGUCGACACCUCGCCAACCCCUGCGCUGCCAAAGCCGUCCGAUCCUCACCGAUCCUGCGCUGCCGAAGCCGCCCGAUCCUCGCCGAUCCUGCGCCGCCGAGGCCGCCUGCUCCUCGCCGACCCCUGCGCCGCCGAAGCCGCCUGCUCUUUCGCCGAGCGCCUCGUCGCCUUCGCCUGCGUCGAGGGCUUCUUCUCCGGCUCCUGCUGAGCCAUCUUCUGGCUCAAGAAGCGUGGCCUCAUGCCCGGGCUCACCUUCUCCAACGAGCUCAUCUCCCGCGACGAGGGCCUCCACUGCGACUUCGCUUGCCUCCUCUACUCCCUCCCAGGGCUGGCAAACGAGCGAGCCGGCUCGCGUUCGACUCGUGUUCGGGUCGAUAUUCGACUCGCUCGAGCUCGACUCGAAAUUGAAUGAGCCGAGCUUGAACAAAAUAAAAGGCUCGAAAUUCAUUUCAAGCCGAGCUUGAGUAUUACUCGGCUCGUUCGAAUUAGGCUCGAAAAGCUCGAAAAGCUCGAAUAUAUAUAUAUAUAUAUAUAUAUAUAUGUAGUAUAUAUAGAGUAAUGUAUAUAGAUAUAUAUAUUAUUUAUAUAAGGUAAAUACUAUCUAUAUAGUGCAGCUAUGGUGCUUGUACAAGCACCAAGCACUUGGUGCUUGUAAGUUUUGUACCGUUAGAUCUACUCCUUUGAUUAUUUCCAACCAUUAGAUUAUACUAUUCAACCAAUCAUUCCACUCAACCCUAGGGGGCCCACAUCAUCCUAAUUGCAUAUCUCUUAAUUCAAUGGCUAAAAAUUUACAAGCACCAAUAACUUGAUACUUUUAAAAGUAUCAAAGCUCAAUUCUCUCUCUCUCUCUCUCUCUCUCUCUCUCUCUCUCUAUAUAUAUAUAUAUAUAUAUAUAAUGUAUUUUAAUUAUAUAUAGGCUUUAAUUUAAUUUGGACUAUUAUUGUUUGCCCAUAAAAUAAACCCAACAAGUACAACCAUGCAAUUGAGCCCAACUCUAAAUUUACAUAACACACUCUCUCUUUCAGACUUUCACUAUUGCACAUAAUACUAAAACAUGAUAACAUUCAAAUUCUCAAAUCCCUAAUUUUUUUUCCCCUCUCUCUCUCUCUCCUUCUCCCUCAGACCCUCACCCAGUCAGGCAGUCACCCUAGCUCACAUUUCUUGCAAUUAUUUUGUAUUUUGAACUAUUGAACAUAUUGCAUCAAAUUGUAGGUAAUGUUAUAUAAAAAUUAAACUAUUGAUUAUAUAAUGUCGGGAAUUUCAAUAGGCUCGUUUAGAGCUCGAGCUCGGCUCGACUCGAAAUUAGGCUCGCUCGAGCUCGGCUCGAAUUAAUUUCAAGCCGAGCUUGAGCCUAGAUUUAGGCUCGAAAUUAAUUUCAAGCCGAAUUUGAGCUGACAUAAGCUCGCUCGAGCUCGGCUCGUUUCCACCCCUACUCCCUCCUUCGCUCCGCGGCGGCGCGCAACCCGCGCACGCUCGACGAGACCCUCAGCGCCGCCGACGCCGAUCCCUUCAACAGGAAGCUCUUUGUCCACGGCCUUGGGUGGGAAACCACCUCCGAGGGGCUCCGCGCCGCGUUCGCCCGAUACGGCGAGAUCGAGGAUUGCCGUGUUGGUUUCAUCCAAUUCCGUCACCGGAGCUCGGCGAGCCGCGCCCUCCGCGAACCCCAGAGGCUCAUCGACAACUGCAUGACCGCGGGCCAGCUCGCCUCCACCAAACUCACCCCCGCACUGAACCAACUCGUCACCGCUCACCAGGUGUUCGAUCUGUGGCCACAAUGAGCCAUGGCGUCGGUCCAGGCUGUGGCGCUCAAGGCGGAGCACGCGUAGGCGGUGGACGCGCUGCAGAAUGCGCCGCAAUUGGUGUGCGGCGGCAGGCGGCCUGUGGACGCCAACAGCGAGCUCUUGGCCGCCGGCACUUUCGUUGACACCUGCCAGGACUCGUUCGACGAGUUCCUAGACGUCGACGGUUCGCACCUCGCAAACGUGCAGCAGGCUCGCCAAUAACAACAUCAGCCUCGCCGCUUACAAGGCCGCCUAGGAUGUUGCUAUGACGGAGUUGGCGCCAACGAAUCAUGCCUACCAAUUGUUUGACGAAAUGCCCAUGACACAUCUUUCGACGGCGAAUCCAAUCUGUACAUAAAGAGAGAGAGCGGUGCUCUUCUCUUUAUAAAAAAAUGUGUUAUUAAAAGAGAAAGAGCGGUGUUCUUCUCUUUAUAAACAAUAUAGCAUCAUCGAAAGAGAGAGAAAGCGGUGCUCUUCUCUUUGCAAAACAAAAAAAUAUUAUCAAAAGAGAGAAAGAGAUUACUUCUCUAAUUAUGAAGGAGAGAGGGAGCUUUGUUACAAAAAGAGAGGCGAUGAAGAGAUUUUCCCACCUUAGUUGUCCCAUGAAUGUAAAAGAGACAAAAGAAGAUCUAUCUUUGUUGUCUUAUAUUUUCAAAGGAGAUAAAGAGAAAAAAUGUGUUCUCUUAAUUCUCCUACAAUGAAGAGACAAAAGAAAAUUAGUCGGAUUACCGAUUAAUAUUCUUUUGAUCGUCCUUUUAUUGGAAGAACAAUGUAAUGUUCGAAAAUAAUCGAACUCUUUGAUUCUAUCCAAAGUUGAAUCUUUCGAUUUGGUCGAAUUAGACCAAAUUGAGAUUUAAUCGCAUUAGACAUUUUAUGUGAUUCACGACUGAGAAUUUGACAAAUAAAAAAAUGCAUUCGAAAUUUUUAAGCUAUGAAUUUGAUUCUGAAUCUUACAAUCUCAUAUGAUCCCAAAUUAACCACCUCAAAACAAUGGACCAAGCCCGUUCUCACCUCAAAUCUCAUAACCCAAGCUCAACAUGACCCAAGUUCAGCCCAAACAUAAAUUUGGGCCCAAUUCUAUGACUUGCUUAAAAGAAAAUUUGGACUUAUGCCAUACGGGCCUAAAUUGAGCCCAAGCCCACAUGUAAUUCAAACCUCCACCUGAAUCCAUAUUAAACGGGCCUAAACUGGGCCUAUGCCUAUAUCCAGAACUUAAAAUUUAAUUCAGGCCUCAACUUGAGUCCAUACCAUAUAGGCCUGGAUCUAGUCCAUGUUGGAAUGCAACUAUAUGGACCCAAAUUUGGACCAUGAAUGAAUCCAUCCGAGAGUUGAACCAUAACUUGAAGCUAUACCUAGCCCAAGUUUGAAUUCCAAACUGGUUCAUAAAAAUGGCUAAAUCGAAUAAAAUCUAAAUUGAAAACCAAUUCAGACCAACAUCAAACCCAAAAAUCUAACCCAAACCAAGACCUUAAAUCAUGCCUAUCAGAUCAAAUAUGAAACCAAACUCUACCAAUUUGUUAAGGGCAAAUCUUUUUAAUCCAAUUCUCUAGCAUAUUAAGCUAGAGUCAUAUUGUUAUCACAUUCAUAUUAGAUCAAAUUCUAAAAUAUUUGUUUAGAAUUGAUCAAACCAUCUAUUAGGUUUCACCUAAUCAGUUCAAUUGAACUCUAAUACACUUACUUAGAGUUCAAAUAAAUGAAAUUGAAUUAGACUCUAAUACAUACACUUAGAGUUUAAUUUAAAUUACAUUUGACUAAUCCUAAUAUAUAUAACCAGGAUUUAGUUGAUAUUUUACCUCAUGGUGAACCCAAAUUAGUCUCUAAUACAUACACUUAGAGUUUAAUUUAAGUUAAGUUAUAUUUUGACUAAUCCUAACAUAUAUAACUAGGAUUUAAUUGAUAUUUCAUCUCAUGGUGAACCCAAAUUAGACUCUAAUACAUACACUUAGAGUUUAAUUUAAAUCAAAUUUUGACUAAUCCGAUUUAGUUAAUAUUUCACCUUAUGGUGAACUCAAUGUGAGGUGUAAUUAAGCUCAAACAUAUAAGCAUAGAGCUUAAUUACAUUAGACUCUAAGAUAUAAAAUUAGAGUCUAAUUCGAAAUAUUUGGACUAAUUCUAACACAUACAUUUAGGAUGAAAGCUUAAAUCAAUUUAAUCAAAUCAAACUCUAAUGCACCUAACUAGGGUUUAAUUUGAAUCAAAUCCGAUUAAGUCCCAAUGCAUAUACAUGAAAUUUAAUCAAUCCCUCACCUAUGGUGAACAAUAUUGUUGAGCACUGAAACAUAUAGAGCCCAAUCAAAUCAAUUUGAUCAUACACUUUGAUUCAGAAUCAAGUUCAAUCAACCGUCAUAUUCAUUCAUGUACAUUGGGGGUAUGCCCCUGGUUAAGCCAUGUAACUAUACAAUGGAUUAUGUUAUAAAAUCCACCUUUUAUUCAAUUUCAGUCUAUUUCAGCAUUACAGAGGUCUCUUAAUCGAAGGUGUCCUAACACUUUGAAGGGAUAAUUAACAAUAAACGCUUGCGUUUAUUGGAAGCCAUGAAUCCACAAUACCUGAUAACCAUAUAUAAUUAAAUCUUAAUCUGAAUCAUGAAUACUACCCCAUGGGAAUUUGAAAAUAAGAUUAACCGUGCAAGGUGUGUCAUUCGUGGUCGCAGACAUUUGUAUUCAUAAGUUUUCAGUCGUUAGAUUUACCUUUUUGACCAUUUUCAUCCGUUAGAUUAUAAUAUUCAACAAACCACUCGCUCAACCCUAGGAGACCACUAUCAUCCUAACUGCACAUCCCUUCAUCCAACAGUUGAAGACUUAUGAGCACAAAGUAAAUUAUACUUAUAAGAGUAUAGUAGCCCUACUUUCUCUCUCUCUCUCUUUAU